GCAUUUACACUACGUCUCAUUAUCAUAUCAUCGUUUUUCAGCUAUCUCUAACACAAGAGCCAAGGGGUUUGGGAGCACACACAAAAAAAGAGAGAUUUCUAAGAGAGCAGGAGAUUGGGCUGGGGUCAUCCAAAAGGGUAAUUAUUGUUAAAUGUCAGGUUAACUCUGAAGGCCUUGACUCAUCCAACUGAGAGCAGAUUAGCCCAGAUGGAGACAUUUUCAACACGGUUCUGUCUGACCAAUCAGCGACAGCUGGGAUUAGCCAAAUACCUUCUCUCAUCUGCUUGCUCACAGAAAGACGCUUACACUCUAUCAAGCAGAGAGCAAAAGAGAGAGCAGAAAGGAGAGAAUGAACCUGUUAUGUGGCACAGCAGAAUCUGCAUCAUCUGCAUGCUGGAGAGGAACACUUCCCUGCGUACGGACACC
rnacentral:lncRNA from 1 species